AGUGAACGCUGGCGGCAGGCCUAAUACAUGCAAGUCGAACGGCAGCACAGCAGAGCUUGCUCUGUGGGUGGCGAGUGGCGGACGGGUGAGGAAUACAUGGGAAUCUGCCCAGUCGUGGGGGAUAACGUAUGGAAACGUACGCUAAUACCGCAUGCGCCCUACGGGGGAAAGUCGGGGACCGCAAGGCCUGACGCGAUUGGAUGAGCCCAUGUUCGAUUAGCUAGUUGGCGGGGUAAAGGCCCACCAAGGCGACGAUCGAUAGCUGGUCUGAGAGGAUGAUCAGCCACACUGGAACUGAGACACGGUCCAGACUCCUACGGGAGGCAGCAGUAGGGAAUAUUGGACAAUGGGGGCAACCCUGAUCCAGCCAUGCCGCGUGAGUGAAGAAGGCCCUCGGGUUGUAAAGCUCUUUUGUCCGGAAAGAAAGCACUGGGUUAAUACCCCGGUGUCCUGACGGUACCGGAAGAUAAGCACCGGCUAACUUCGUGCCAGC
rnacentral:rRNA from 1 species